UGGUCGCAAGACCAGGCUUUUGUAGGCAUAAAAUCAAUGGCUUCAUCGCCAUUGGAGGAAUCACUAUAACAUGCAAAUCGCAUAGCCUUGUGCUGGCGAUAUUCCGCUCAAAUGUCUGCCCUAUCAGCUUUCGAUGGCAAGUUAUUAGCUUGCCAUGGCUUUUACGGGUAACGGGGAACCAGGGUUCGGUUCCGGAGAGGGAGCCUGAGAGAUGGCUACCACUUCCAAGGAAGGCAGCAGGCGCGCAAAUUACCCAAUAGCAAUAUGCUGAGGUAGUGACAAGAAAUACUAAUACAGGUCCCCGCAAAGGACUUGUGAUUGGAAUGAGUACAAUUUAAAUCCCUUAAUGAGGAACAAUUGCAGGACAAGUCUGGUGCCAGCACCCGCGGUAAUUCCAGCUCCAAUAGCGUAUAUUAAAGUUGUUGCAGUUAAAAAGCUCGUAGUCGAAUAAUAGCACUUGCAGGCUCGGUCUACCGGAAGGUGUGCACUGGCUGUGCAUGUGCUUAUUCUCAGUGACUGUUUCUGAUCUUAACUGAUUGGAUUUGGUUCUGAGACGUUUACUUUGAGUAAAUUAGAGUGUUUAAAGCAGGCUGAUUAGCCUUGAAUACAUUAGCACGGGAUAAUAGAAUAGGGCUCAAAACCCUUUUUUGUUGGUUUAUGGGUUUAAGCAAUGAUUAAUAGGAACGAUUGGGGAUAUUUAAAUUUCAUUGUCAGAGGUGAAAUUCUUGGAUUAAUGAAAGUUAAACUGAAGCGAAAGCGUUUAUCAAGGACGUUUUCAUUGAUCAAGAACGAAAGUUAGGGGAUCGAAGACGAUCAGAUACCGUCGUAGUCCUAACUAUAAACGUUGCCGACCAGAAAUCACAGAACGUUACUUGGAUGACUUCUGUGGCAUCUCGCGGGAAACCAGAGUCUUUGGGUUCCGGGGGGAGUAUGGUCGCAAGGCUGAAACUUAAAGGAAUUGACGGAAGGGCACACCAGGAGUGGAGCCUGCGGCUUAAUUUGACCCAACACGGGGAAACUCACCGGGUCCAGACACAAUAAGGAUUGACAGAUUGAGAGCUCUUUCUUGAUUUUGUGGGUGGUGGUGCAUGGCCGUUCUUAGUUGGUGGAGUGAUUUGUCUGGUUAAUUCCGAUAACGAACGAGACCACAACUUACUAAAUAGUAUGUAGAAACGUCUACUGGGUGAAGCUUGAGAGUGUGAUGGUGGCUUUGGCUAUUGUCAUCUCUUGAGUGGAUCCUUGAUGAUUCCUGUAUGACUUCUUAGAAGGACUAUUAGGGACUACCUAAUGGAAGUGUGGCAAUAACAGGUCUGUGAUGCCCUUAGAUGUCUCGGGCUGCACGCGCGCUACACUGAUAUGGUAAAUAAGUCAUAUUAACUGUGCCGAAUGGUUUGGUUAAUCUUUAAUACCUAUCGUGCUGGGGAUAGAUCAUUGUAACUAUUGGUCUUCAACGAGGAAUUCCUAGUAAGUGCAAGUCAUCAGCUUGCGCUGAUUACGUCCCUGCCCUUUGUACACACCGCCCGUCGCUCCUACCGAUUGAAUGAUCCGGUGAAAUCUUCGGAGUUAGUGAAUUACCUUUGUGGCAACACUAUAGGCUUCACCUGCGAAGUUGCUUAAACCAAAUCAUUUAGAGGAAGGAGAAGUCGUAACAAGGUC
rnacentral:rRNA from 1 species